UAAGCCUGCGAAGGUGGCCUGUGAGGGUUGCUGGAGGUAUCAGAAGUGCGAAUGCUGACAUAAGUAACGAUAAAGCGGGUGAAAAGCCCGCUCGCCGGAAGACCAAGGGUUCCUGUCCAACGUUAAUCGGGGCAGGGUGAGUCGACCCCUAAGGCGAGGCCGAAAGGCGUAGUCGAUGGGAAACGGGUUAAUAUUCCCGUACUUGGUGUUACUGCGAAGGGGGGACGGAGAAGGCUAUGUUGGCCGGGCGACGGUUGUCCCGGUUUAAGCGUGUAGGCUGGUUUUCCAGGCAAAUCCGGAAAAUCAAGGCUGAGGCGUGACGACGAGGCACUACGGUGCUGAAGCAACAAAUGCCCUGCUUCCAGGAAAAGCCUCUAAGCAUCAGGUAACAUCAAAUCGUACCCCAAACCGACACAGGUGGUCAGGUAGAGAAUACCAAGGCGCUUGAGAGAACUCGGGUGAAGGAACUAGGCAAAAUGGUGCCGUAACUUCGGGAGAAGGCACGCUGACACGUAGGUGAAGUGAUUUACUCAUGGAGCUGAAGUCAGUCGAAGAUACCAGCUGGCUGCAACUGUUUAUUAAAAACACAGCACUGUGCAAACACGAAAGUGGACGUAUACGGUGUGACGCCUGCCCGGUGCCGGAAGGUUAAUUGAUGGGGUCAGCGCAAGCGAAGCUCCUGAUCGAAGCCCCGGUAAACGGCGGCCGUAACUAUAACGGUCCUAAGGUAGCGAAAUUCCUUGUCGGGUAAGUUCCGACCUGCACGAAUGGCGUAAUGAUGGCCAGGCUGUCUCCACCCGAGACUCAGUGAAAUUGAACUCGCUGUGAAGAUGCAGUGUACCCGCGGCAAGACGGAAAGACCCCGUGAACCUUUACUAUAGCUUGACACUGAACAUUGAGCCUUGAUGUGUAGGAUAGGUGGGAGGCUUUGAAGUGUGGACGCCAGUCUGCAUGGAGCCAACCUUGAAAUACCACCCUUUAAUGUUUGAUGUUCUAACGUGGACCCGUAAUCCGGGUUGCGGACAGUGUCUGGUGGGUAGUUUGACUGGGGCGGUCUCCUCCUAAAGAGUAACGGAGGAGCACGAAGGUUGGCUAAUCCUGGUCGGACAUCAGGAGGUUAGUGCAAUGGCAUAAGCCAGCUUGACUGCGAGCGUGACGGCGCGAGCAGGUGCGAAAGCAGGUCAUAGUGAUCCGGUGGUUCUGAAUGGAAGGGCCAUCGCUCAACGGAUAAAAGGUACUCCGGGGAUAACAGGCUGAUACCGCCCAAGAGUUCAUAUCGACGGCGGUGUUUGGCACCUCGAUGUCGGCUCAUCACAUCCUGGGGCUGAAGUAGGUCCCAAGGGUAUGGCUGUUCGCCAUUUAAAGUGGUACGCGAGCUGGGUUUAGAACGUCGUGAGACAGUUCGGUCCCUAUCUGCCGUGGGCGCUGGAGAACUGAGGGGGGCUGCUCCUAGUACGAGAGGACCGGAGUGGACGCAUCACUGGUGUUCGGGUUGUCAUGCCAAUGGCACUGCCCGGUAGCUAAAUGCGGAAGAGAUAAGUGCUGAAAGCAUCUAAGCACGAAACUUGCCCCGAG
rnacentral:rRNA from 1 species